GACAGUGAGUGUUGUUAAGAUAUAAAACAAAAAAAAACAAAAAACAAAACAAAUAUAGAACUAAAAGGCGAUGAAACGCAAGACAAGAAAACACGAGAAUAAAGAAUAAAAUAACAAUCGAAUAACAAAGAAAAUGAAACAUAAAAAGAUUCGACUUUGGCUAAAUCUACUUGUUUAAAAGGUCUUUUGAACAGAAGCUCAACGCGUCUCCUAAGCUCACCAUCGACACAGAAGGAGCUGUGACGUCAAAGAUACAGUCGAUCACCUGUUCCUCCAGACGCUGCAAGAGGGGAAAGCUGAUCAAGGAGUCUGAGAAAAAAAAGGUAUUGAUAGAAUUUUCCUCCUUUUAAGAGCUGUGUGUUUCAUACCUUGUUUAUGUCUUGGCAUUCGAUUUUUAUGACGUUGAC